AGAGUUUGAUCCUGGCUCAGAUUGAACGCUGGCGGCGUGCCUAACACAUGCAAGUCGAGCGGUAACAGGUGUAGCAAUACAUGCUGACGAGCGGCGAACGGGUGAGUAAUGCUUCGGAAUCUACCCAAUGGUGGGGAAUAACCAGCCGAAAGGUUGGCUAAUACCGCAUACGUCCUACGGGAGAAAGCAGGGGAUCGUAAGACCUUGCGCCAAUGGAUGAGCCGAAGUCGGAUUAGCUAGUUGGUAGGGUAACGGCCUACCAAGGCGACGAUCCGUAGCUGGUCUGAGAGGACGACCAGCCACACUGGGACUGAGACACGGCCCAGACUCCUACGGGAGGCAGCAGUGGGGAAUAUUGGACAAUGGGGGAAACCCUGAUCCAGCGACGCCGCGUGUGUGAAGAAGGCCUGCGGGUUGUAAAGCACUUUUAGUGGGGAUGAAAAGUUCAGGGCUAAUACUCCUGGAUCUUGACCUAACCCACA
rnacentral:rRNA from 1 species